CUGGUGAGUUGUGAGGACCCAGAAGCAGACACAGAGACAGAGAUCAACUUAAGGCGUAAUUUAAUGUCCAAACAAUGCAAAAAGAGGAAGUCCGGUAGGCUGGCUGGCUGGCUGUCGUGUGGGCUGGAGACACUGCAGGAAAAACCAGAGGAGAGGUAGGUAAGUGAACAUGCACAGAAUCACGAGGAGCAAAGUUACAGAUACUCUUACAAAGAGGAAGGCCAAGAGACACGUCUGUACCACUAGGAAGGGUAGACAAUACUCAGGCGCUGAGACUGAGGGCUGCAGUCUUCUUAAAGUGCCUUGAUUGGAGAUGUGGAGCAGGUGUGUCGUCUCACUCAGCCUCAGCGCCGGGGGAGGGGAGGAAGCUCUGGAAAAGAGUAAAGCCAGACCAGGCAAACAGGGAAACACAGGAAGUCCAGCCAAAAUAAAAUAGGAUGAGGAGGCGUCUCAC